AUUGAACGCUGGCGGCAUGCUUUACACAUGCAAGUCGAACGGCAGCACGAGUGCUUGCACUUGGUGGCGAGUGGCGGACGGGUGAGUAAUACAUCGGAACGUGUCCUGAAGUGGGGGAUAACGCAUCGAAAGAUGUGCUAAUACCGCAUAAUCUCUGAGGAGGAAAGUAGGGGAUCGAAAGACCUUAUGCUUUUGGAGCGGCCGAUGUCUGAUUAGCUAGUUGGCGGGGUAACGGCCCACCAAGGCGACGAUCCGUAGCUGGUCUGAGAGGACGAUCAGCCACACUGGAACUGAGACACGGUCCAGACUCCUACGGGUGGCAG
rnacentral:rRNA from 1 species